GAGUAUCUAUUUUACGUUAACUGCGUCCUUAAUCCUGCAAUAUACAUGAAUAUUCAUUAUUGUAUUGUAGUUU